UGAGGAACAUGACCUUCGGCGGGGGAUAGCCGGCCCAACGGCCGGGUAAUACCGCGUACGACCUUUCGGGGACAUCCCUGGAUGGUGAAAGCAGCAAUGCGCCGAUGGAGUGCCUCGCGGCCUAUCAGCUAGUUGGUGAGGUAACGGCUCACCAAGGCAACGACGGGUAGCUGGUCUGAGAGGAUGGCCAGCCACAUUGGGACUGAGACACGGUCCAGACUCCGUACGGGAGCA
rnacentral:rRNA from 1 species